GUCCCGAGCGUUGUCCGGAUUCACUGGGCGUAAAGGGAGCGCAGGCGGCGCGGCAAGUCUGAUGUGAAAGCCCGGGGCUCAACCCCGGGUCUGCAUUGGAAACUGUCGAGCUAGAGUGUCGGAGGGGUAAGCGGAAUUCCUAGUGUAGCGGUGAAAUGCGUAGAUAUUAGGAGGAACACCAGUGGCGAAGGCGGCUUACUGGACGAUGACUGACGCUGAGGCUCGAAAGCGUGGGGAGCAAAC
rnacentral:rRNA from 1 species